rnacentral:lncRNA from 1 species
CUGCUAUGCGAUUCUGUAACAAACACAUCAUUGAUGCUAACAACGACGAGUUCACAGAUGUCGCAUCGUAGACAUCGCUUUUAAAAACAACGUUGAUGAAAACCGUAUUCGGUUAGCUCAAAAGCUCGUCGACGAUCUGCCGAACAACGAUGACGGGUAGGAUGUUUACAGUGUUGCCAAAUUUCUUCUAAAGCAAUUUAAAGUAUAAUCGAGAAAAUCUCGACUAACGUUUUUUGGCGUUAUUUCGACAUUUUAAAUCAAUGUAAAUGCAUAAUAUGUAUGUAUAAAACACAUUCUAUUCGAUAAGCAACGAAUAUUUAAUUAAUCAUAUCAUUUUCGACAUAGAAAAUAAUGACUCAAAUCUUUGACAUUUGUUAUAAUCUAGGUUAUGUAGUAUAAUAUAUAGUCUGUGUCAUUUCAAAACUUCUCAAAACCAAAACAAACAUUUUGCUCAUAACUGGAUUAUAUCCUUAUUUAUCUAAAUACGAGAUUUCAAAGCUCCAAAUGGCUUUAAGCGGUCAAGUGGACUUUAAAAAAAGUUGUACCCCUAACCAACGGCAUUCUACUUGUCCUAUGUUUUAGUUUGGUUCCAAAACUAUCGAAAUGUCUCGCAACGCACUGCCUUCGUUGAGUCAGCUGGAAGAGCUAGUAAGCUUUUUGGAAAACAAACCAUGUUUGAUUAUGAUGGGCCCAUGAUCGUACUGCAAAUGCGAGCAGUCAUCAGGCACGAUCCGAAAACAACAGCCCCAAACAGUGACGUAGUGGGUGUAUGAAAAUAUUGGAGCAGUGGUGUAAGUACUGGAAGGACAAAAAGAAGCAGUUCAUAGGAAGUCCAGUUCUAUUGCAGCUGCGAGGCAACAUGAAGAAUUUGCCAGAACUCGGUGUAAUUGAGUUAAAAAUACAUUCCAUUAUGCGAGAAGAAUAUUUUGGAAUCUGAAUUUAGAUAAAUAAAUCCAUGUUCAUUAUAAAAUACAGAAUAAUAAAAAGGCAUGUUGAAUUAAAA